CCUACGGGGGGCAGCAGUGGGGGAUAUUGCACAAUGGGGGGAACCCUGAUGCAGCGACGCCGCGUGGGUGAAGAAGCGCCUCGGCGCGUAAAGCCCUGUCAGCAGGGAAGAAAAUGACGGUACCUGAAGAAAAAGCAUCGGCUAACUCCGUGCCAGCAGCCGCGGUAAUACGGAGGAUGCGAGCGUUAUCCGGAUUUAUUGGGUUUAAAGGGUGCGUAGGCGGAAUAUCAAGUCAGCGGUAAAAAUUCGGGGCUCAACCCCGUCGUGCCGUUGAAACUGAUGUUCUUGAGUGGGCGAGAAGUAUGCGGAAUGCGUGGUGUAGCGGUGAAAUGCAUAGAUAUCACGCAGAACUCCGAUUGCGAAGGCAGCAUACCGGCGCCCAACUGACGCUGAAGCACGAAAGCGUGGGUAUCGAACAGGAUUAGAUACCCGUGUAGUC
rnacentral:rRNA from 1 species